rnacentral:hammerhead_ribozyme from 1 species
AUACAGAUGACGCGUUCGAAACAGGACGAAAUGCGCAUCCUGCAU